UGGUACUGUUAGCCGCACAACUGAGCGCCGCACUCCGCGUGAUCAACGGGAUCUCUUGAUCGCCGCCAACCUGUCACCAACUGGGAACGAAACGAACUCAGAACCUCACAGUGAGCAGCACGAACAUGGCUGAAGUGAAUCAACAAGAUGGAUUUCUCGAACUUCAAGAUAAAUCUGAUCAAGAGGUCUGUGACAGACUAUGGGAUGACUUGAAGAUGGACAGAGUUCUUUUCUGGAUAGGUAGCCAGUUUCUAACAGCAGACGCGAAUGGUUGCUCUCCUGGCGCCUGGGACCCCUAUACAAUUAUCUGCACUUCCUUUAAAGGACAUAUUCCAACAAACGGAUAUUCACAGUGCAUUGUUUUCUAAAAGGAUUAAGAAUAGAAGCGACAAAACCCUUUCCACAUCCAUAAGAAAUCUCUGCUAAAAGCAGACUCGAUUGUACAAUUCUGACUAUAUCAUGGGUUUGCAUUAAUUUUAAGUAAGAAGCAACGAGUAAGCUAUUAUUAAACUUGCAUGUGUGUCAUAUCCAUGUACGAAACACGUGUAACAAUUCAUGUGUUACCAUCGCUCUCAGAAAAUACAAGAAUUUUUAAUC